GACGAACGCUGGCGGCGUGCUUAACACAUGCAAGUCGAACGGAAAGGCCCUGCUUGCAGGGUACUCGAGUGGCGAACGGGUGAGUAACACGUGGGUGAUCUGCCCUGCACUUCGGGAUAAGCCUGGGAAACUGGGUCUAAUACCGGAUAGGAGCCAUUUUUAGUGUGAUGGUUGGAAAGUUUUUUCGGUGUAGGAUGAGCUCGCGGCCUAUCAGCUUGUUGGUGGGGUAAUGGCCUACCAAGGCGGCGACGGGUAGCCGGCCUGAGAGGGUGGACGGCCACAGGGGGAUGGAAAGAGGCCCCGGCCCCCGGGGGGGGGAGGAGGGGGGGAAAUUUGAAGAGGGGGGGAAGGCUGGGGGCGGCGCGGCCGGGGGGGGGAGGACGCCUUCGGGUUGGAAACCUCUUUUCGAGAGGGAAAAGGUUUUUUGGGAGGGUCCCAAAAAAAAAAGCCCGGCCAAACUAGGUC
rnacentral:rRNA from 1 species